ACUACGAGUUUGAUCCUGGCUCAGAGUGAACGCUGGCGGCAGGCCUAACACAUGCAAGUCGAGCGGCAGCGCGGGGCAACCCUGGCGGCGAGCGGCGGACGGGUGAGGAAUGCAUCGGAAUCUACCUCGUUGUGGGGGAUAACCUCGGGAAACCGGGACUAAUACCGCAUACGACCUACGGGUGAAAGUGGGGGACCUUCGGGCCUCACGCGAUGAGAUGAGCCGAUGCCGGAUUAGCUAGUUGGCGGGGUAAAGGCCCACCAAGGCGACGAUCCGUAGCUGGUCUGAGAGGAUGAUCAGCCACACUGGAACUGAGACACGGUCCAGACUCCUACGGGAGGCAGCAGUGGGGAAUAUUGGACAAUGGGCGCAAGCCUGAUCCAGCCAUGCCGCGUGUGUGAAGAAGGCCUUCGGGUUGUAAAGCACUUUUGUUGGGGAAGAAACCGGUCGGAUUAAUACUUCGGCUGAAUGACGGUACCCAAAGAAUAAGCACCGGCUAACUUCGUG
rnacentral:rRNA from 1 species